UACAGAGGUCCCAAGCGUUGUUCGGAUUCACUGGGCGUAAAGGGUGCGUAGGCGGUCGGGUAAGUCUGAUGUGAAAUCUCACAGCUUAACUGUGAAACUGCAUUGGAUACUAUUCGGCUUGAGAGUUGGAGGGGGGACUGGAAUUCUUGGUGUAGCGGUGAAAUGCGUAGAUAUCAAGAGGAACACCAGUGGCGAAGGCGAGUCCCUGGACAACUUCUGACGCUGAGGCACGAAAGCUAGGGGAGCAAACAGG
rnacentral:rRNA from 1 species